UGGGGAAUCUUCCGCAAUGGACGAAAGUCUGACGGAGCAACGCCGCGUGAGUGAAGAAGGUUUUCGGAUCGUAAAACUCUGUCUUUUGGGGCGAACGUGAGUAUGGUGAACAAUCAUAGUCAGUGACGGUACCAAAGGAGGAAGCCACGGCUAACUACGUGCCAGCAGCCGCGGUAAUACGUAGGUGGCAAGCGUUGUCCGGAAUUAUUGGGCGUAAAGAGCGCGUAGGCGGGAUAGUCAGUCUGUUGUAAAGUGCGGGGCUCAACCCCGUGAUGGCAAUGGAAACAGCUAUUCUUGAGUGCAGGAGAGGAAAGUGGAAUUCCCAGUGUAGCGGUGAAAUGCGUAGAUAUUGGGAGGAACACCAGUGGCGAAGGCGACUUUCUGGACUGUGUCUGACGCUGAGGCGCGAAAGCCAGGGGAGCGAACGGGAUUAGAUACCCCGGUAGUCCUGGCCGUAAACGAUGGGUACUAGGUGUGGGGGGUAUCGACCCCUUCCGUGCCGGAGUUAACGCAAUAAGUACCCCGCCUGGGGAGUACGGUCGCAAGACUGAAACUCAAAGGAAUUGACGGGGUCAUAGCUGUUUCCUG
rnacentral:rRNA from 1 species